rnacentral:rRNA from 1 species
UACAGAGGUCUCAAGCGUUGUUCGGAUUCAUUGGGCGUAAAGGGUGUGUAGGUGGCGCCGUAAGUCGGGUGUGAAAUUUCGGAGCUUAACUCCGAAACUGCAUUCGAUACUGCGGUGCUUGAGGACUGGAGAGGAGACUGGAAUUCAUGGUGUAGCAGUGAAAUGCGUAGAGAUCAUGAGGAAGGCCAGUGGCGAAGGCGGGUCUCUGGACAGUUCCUGACACUGAGACACGAAGGCCAGGGGAGCAAACGGG